UUUAUCUCCAAUGUCUCAACAGCCUAAUUUGACACAUGAGGAGACAAUGAUUGAAUCAGCUGCAUCUCCAAAGUCUCAACAAAAUGAGGAUUACACGCAACCAUCGAGUGAGACGCCUUUAUCUCCAAUGU